UUUGACGUUCUUUUAAAACGUUAAUGUGUCAUUUCUUUUUUUAAGUGAACUUCUGUUUUUUUUUCUCCAUGUCCCGCGCGGAGCACGGAAGUUUCGGGAAGCGCUGCGAUGGAGAGCCGGGGUGAGGUUGGAGGGGGAGACGGGCAGACUUCCUCUGCCACGUCGGAGCCGAGACCCAGACACUUCCGCUGGACGGACGGUGGCGGCCAGAGCCGGCAGAGCGGGCGCGUGAGCAAACUAACGGUCGACCAUGCGGCCCACACUGCAUUUAUUUCUCCUCAUCUCAUUCCAAUUUCUCAAUGCGUGCAGAAGUAGCACUCCACCUAAGAGCCCCGCUGGCUCUGCACCACCUCCUCCUCCUCCACCUCCACCUCUUCUUCUGAGCGACCCGAGCUGGGCCCUGGGUCUGCGCCUGUACCGGGCCCUCCGCACCCCCUCCGGCUCCGUCAACACCCUGUUCUCCCCGCUCCUCCUGGCCUCCUCCCUGAAGGCUCUGAGUGAAGCCUCCUCGGGGAAGACGUCCACGCAAAUCCAAGCCCUGCUCCGGCCCGAGACGCCUUCGGAGACGUCAGACGGAGUCCUGUCGGGGGCGCUGAAGAGGUUUACGGAGGCUGAUGGGAGCAGCUUCCACCUGCGCUGGUCCUCGGCCGUGUUUACCAAGCAGGCCCCCGCGCUUAGACAGGCCUUUGUGAAGGAGAGCCAGAGCAAGUUCGGACUUCAGCAUCAGACGCUGGGGAAAGGAGACCCCAGCGCCGACCUGAAACGGCUCGGCGACUGGGCAAAGGCUGGCACCGGCGGCCUGGAAGGAGCUCCUCUGGAAGGAGGAAUCAAAGCUAAAGCUGGAGCUGUGAUCCUGGCAAACGCUCUGCACUUUAAAGGGUUGUGGGAGCGGGAGUUCAGCGAAGGCAAUAAGGAUCUACGCACCUUCCUGGGAUGGAAGUACACCCAAGUGGUGAUGAUGCACAGAGCAGGUUUGUUCCGUUUCCACGAAGACAUGGAGAACAUGGUUCAAGUGCUGGAGGUCCCUCUGUGGGGGGGUCAGGCCAGCGCGGUGUUCCUGAUGCCCUUCCACGUGGAAAAUCUGGCCCGGUUGGACAAGCUGCUGAGCCUGGACCUGCUGUCCUAGUGGCUGGAGAGGACCAGCGUCACCAGCGUGGCCAUCUCCAUGCCCAAGGCCAACAUCACCAGCACCCUCAGUCUGCAGAAAGCGCUGUCUGGUCUGGGACUGAUGGAUGCCUGGGACCAGAAGGUGGCCGACUUUUCCGGCGUGUCGGACAAAAGUAAAGGGAAGCUCCACCUGGGCGCCGUCCUCCACUGGGCCUCAAUGGAGCUGGCUCCCCAGGCUGGGGAGGGCGAGGUAGACGUGGAGGAGAACGUAGGGCGGCCCAAGCUGUUUUACGCAGAUCAUCCCUUCCUCGUUUUGGUUAGAGACAACGCGACGGGCGCCCUGCUGCUCAUGGGGGCUCUGGACCAUGCAGAGGGGGAGCUCCUACAUGACGAACUGUAGCUUCACCUGCUGGUGAAGAUAUUCUGUGUGUUUUUCUGCCAGUGCAGAGUUCCCCCUCCUGCAUGUAUAAAUAAAAGCACUCCACUGGUCCUGUCAGGAGAACACGGAGGUGACCGGGGAUCUUCGGCAGGUUCCCCCGGGUCGCCUCCGAGCAAGACUGAUGGAUCGGCCAAGUGCUUAUUGAUGAGCCAGCUUAAUGCUAAUGGCCGCAAUGCGUUAUGGCGCUUGUCAGCGGUACAGGGAAGACGGGAAACCUUUUAAUCUCCUAAUGCCAUCGUUGAUCAAUGGCAACACGGUGCAGCUGGAAACAAGCAAGACUGACACGGCCGGAAUGACUAGAAAAACCCACAAGAAUGCGGGAUUGAGGCAUCGUCUCGGGUUUAUGCCACAUCGAUGUCCCCACCUGCUCCUCAACAGAAAACAAUCGAUCUUUUCUACUCAAUAGAACAGCUUGAACUCACAACGUCAAACUGACAUUGCUGAAUUCUUACAAGGAUCCACAGGCGAAAACACUUCAGCCACUUAGUCUUAUGAAUAAUGGAGAAAUAAACCGUGAGAGACGGAAAAACUCCCAUCCAACCUUUUCUCUCGUUUUUAGUGUGUUUCUAUUCAAAGAACGACUUCCAAACCUUUGCAGUUUAAGACGGUUUUGUUCCAAGUCUCCUAAAAGCACAGAAGAUUUAAACGUGCAUUUUAUCGCUUCUCCAUGUCGCUGUAUUUAGUAACUGCGACUAGACUGAAGUCGACUGUGGGAUUCCAGGAACUCCGGUGUUCUUUCAGGUCUGCUCUGCAGCGGUGCGGGUUGAUGCAUUAGCCUCUGUGUUUUCCUGUGCUGCACAGAGGAGUGCAUUACCCUCCACAACGAAGAAGCCCGAAUGCUCCGUGAUGGAUCUGAGACUGACAGCCCGCAGCAAAUCAAUCCCGCUUAUUCGAACACCAGCUCCCAGCUGGCUCGCCAUCACAUUCUAUUCAGGUCAGAACUCUGACAAACACUCACCAGCCUGGAUCCGUUCGCAGGUACCCAGACAUAAUCUGAGUUACCAGGAAAAGGUGAGAAAAAUCAAUUCUCAAUGCUGUGUGGAGGCCGUACAAUAUAUCUAGGUUAUGUGAGGGUUUGUGUAAUUAAUGCUUUUAGAAGGGCAACAAGAUAAAUUGCCUAAUAAGUAUUUGUUUUCUUUGACUCUUAAUUUAAAAUCAUCAAUCAUGUCCUGUUUUUCAAAAGAAAUUUCUUUCUGAUAUACACAAAAUAAUUGGAUUGUGGUUACUUUUACGUAUCUUCCUGAGGUGGUGCAGAAUUCUUACAGUGAUGCUACGUUCACACCCGGCAUGUGUGGUGCAUUCAAUACCGAAUGUGGGUUUUCGAAUGGUUUUCACAGGGGUCUGUCGCUACCGGAUACUAGUGCAGGUACUCAUCGUUGGAAGAGGCUUGGUGCGAAAUGUUGAAGUGGUACAAAUCUCGCAAAUCUUCUCCUCCACGAUCAAUUUUCCAACGGUUGGUGCCUUCGUGUUUUGAGAAGGACGCUACCCAUGUGUCACUACAAAAGCUGAGUCCCUGAUUGGGACUUAAGUUCAACCGGUUCAGAAUCAGAAGUACUUUAUUGAUCCCACACGUGGGAAAUUUGUGCAAAAUUUGUUCUACGGACUUAUACAUUUGCGAGUUUUGAAUGCUGAAGCCCAAAACACGAAUGUGCGUGCAUUUACAUUGACUUCUCAUUGAAAGCAGUCGCUUCAACGCACAUUUCCGAGCCCGGUGUGAAUGUAGUGUCAGACAUCUACAGGGUUGGACACGCACCAAAACAUUAACACACUAUAUUUACCAUUGAAAUCAGUUGCCCUGAUCGUUACAUGACAUUCUAUCCCUCUCUCUCCGUCUUGACCCUUUUCCAUCCAGCAUUUAAUUUGAACAUUCUAGCGUUUGUAUACACGUCCUCAGUCCAUCCAUGCGUCCCUCUAACCAUUUAUCUGUACAUGUUCUGGAUUCCUGGAGCCUAUCCACACUCCAGUGGGGCACGUCCCGGAGAUUUUCCCAGUCCAUCACUAGCAAAGAACCACACACACUCGCAUUCGCACCUAAGAGACAACUUCUAGUCACCAAGCAUGUUUUUAAACUGUAGGAGGAAGCCAGAGUACCCGGAGAAAACUCAUGCAUGAACAAUUAGAACAUCCAAAGUCCACGCAGGAGGAACCUAUGCGGGAUUCAAACUAUCGCCCUGUGAGACGAGAAUGCUAAUACCACAGUGCACCCUAGGUCUUCUGUCCAUGUAAGUACAAAUAUAUUAAAGUGAUAUUUAGCUAGCUUUCAGGCUCAAUACCUAAGUAGCUAGAAAUACAACAAAACAGGAAGUUAUUGGAGAAACGCGGAGACAACGAUAAAAUGUGCGGUUUUAAGUUUUCUCAACAGUCUGUUGAUGCCGGCGACAACAGAACAACACCGUGACCUUCAGUGAACUACCUUCAUUAUUUACUGAUAUGCAUUUAAAGCAAUUCCGACAGAUUCUGAUGCGUAAAACAUCAACUAUGCAGCACUAUUCAACACUUUCUUUACGUUAAUGGAUAUCGGCAAAGUUUUUUAAUAAUCAGCUGGUGUACGGUAAUCGUGUAAAUGCUUCCUUCUCUGCGUUAAAGUUUGGCACAUCGGCGCAUUGCUGCUUUUCUCUCUUUCAAAUGCUAAAUGGUUGGAGAGUUACUGUAAUUAAAAGAACAUCAACGUUAAAGGAUUAAACUGGUUGUAGUUCUGAGCACUUGGACUGGUACCUUCAUUUUGAACCAAAAGCGAUGAAGUCAACAAAGUCAUCAUUUUUACAUAUUUGUGUCUAAAGACAAAUUUCAAAUGUUGCUUCAUUCUACAUAUUGAAAAAAUACAUUUUUUAAAAGUCAUAGUAGCAAGAAUGUUAUAAUUCGGUCUAAUUAUGUCCAUAUUGGGUUCUAGCUAUCCAUCCAUCCACCACUAUAAUCAGCCUUCUGCUGAGGGUCUAUUCAUUUAUAAUAGUGCAAGCCCUUAAAGUAAUGGAAAAAUCCAUACUGUAAUAGUUCUGAUUAUUGUUAGUUCUAAUUUAUCCUCAAAGGAUCUCACAAUUGAACUCUUGUAUGUUUACAAAAAUGUCUUCAAUUAGAAGAAACUACAAAACAAAAUCAAUAAUCCUGCCUGUUACCAUGGCGUCUUUUCAAAAUUCCUACCGCAUUAUAACCUUUCAAUGACCCAGCCAUUAUUUCCCGAUGUAAAUUUUCAUGAGGUGAGAGGAGAUGUUCAUCACUAUAAGACAUAAAUUAGCCAUUCAUCAUUUCAGGUUUAAAAAUGGAUUUUCAUACAGUAUUUGUUGCUUGUGUGCAUCUUUGCAGCACACUGCCUCCACUCACCGAUAACAGAGGUGAGGUGCAUUAUGGGUGUUGGGUGACGACUUGACGCUGUCGCACACGGCUGAGCUGCUGUUUAGCCUUUCACAUAAAAACGUGUUUUAAGGCAGUUUAAUGUUUAAUUCUCUGCUCCUGAAUUAAACAUGAUGUCAAAGUGG